UGGGGAAUCUUGGACAAUGGGCGCAAGCCUGAUCCAGCCAUGCCGCGUGGAUGAUGAAGGCCUUAGGGUUGUAAAAUCCUUUCGCCGAGGACGAUAAUGACGGUACUCGGAGAAGAAGCCCCGGCCAACUACGUGCCAGCAGCCGCGGUAAUACGUAGGGGGCGAGCGUUGUCCGGAUUUAUUGGGCGUAAAGAGCUCGUAGGCGGUUUGGUAAGUCGGGUGUGAAAGUCCGAGGCUCAACCUCGGGAAGCCACCCGAUACUGCUAUGACUGGAGUCCGGUAGAGGAGUGUGGAAUUCCUGGUGUAGCGGUGAAAUGCGCAGAUAUCAGGAGGAACACCAAUGGCGAAGGCAGCACUCUGGGCCGGUACUGACGCUGAGGAGCGAAAGCGUGGGUAGCAAACAGGAUUAGAUACCCAAGUAGUCCCUGAGCGGGCUGGCAAGGCGCAU
rnacentral:rRNA from 1 species